rnacentral:lncRNA from 1 species
CUUGGCCAGAGAUUUGAGAUCUGCAGUUUCAGAAUCUUCUAUGUCAUGUUCACAGCUGCGGUCGCACUUGUCAUACACCAGCUUGAGUCGAAUCGUUCGCCGAAAGAAGCCCUGUGAGGAUUCUACAUUCGAUGUUCAAUGCUCCACUGGGAGACUCGUCCACGCUGCCGGGGACCACAGGAUAAGUCACCGAGGAGGGGCUCGAAGCUGGUGAAAGCGUGUCUGGGGAAAAAGAGGAGAGACGGAUGAAUAGUCCAGGCAUCACUAUCCUGUGUCUGAACCGGGUCUAUGAGGAUGUGAUUUCGCAUACGAGGCUUCUAGUGCUGAGGCAUAAACCUCAGAACACCCAUGCGGGGCCGGGCCCUGCCUCUGGGUCACACCCUCUUGCACUCCUACAGCUGCCAUUGUGCUGUGCUCCCAAAGCCAGCAUGCUCGCUCUCACUGCUGCUGAGCUGACCCCGAGCUCCGGACCCACACACCUCAGAUCACACAUCCCUGGACCCGCACAUCUCCGCCCCGCAUAUCUCCGGGCCCGCGCGUCUCCCAUCCACACAUCCCGCCCCGCACAUCUCCUCAUUCCCACAUCUUCGAUCUGAGCAUCUCCGAUCCACACAUCUCCGCCCCGCGCAUCUCCGGACCUGCACAUCUCCCAUCCACACAUCUUCAGAUUUGCACAUCUUUGGACCCGCACAUCUCUGGACCCACGCAUCUCCGGACCCGCGCGUCUCCGGACCCGUGGAUCCCCGGACCUGGGCAUCUCCGAUCAGCUCAUCUUUGCUCUGCUCUGCACAUCUCCAGACCCGCACAUCUCCGGACCCCCACAUCUCUGGACCCCCGCAUCUCCUGACCCCCCAACAUCUCCUGAUCCACACAUCUCCGCUCUGCACAUUUCCGGACCCGCGCAUCUCCGAUUCGCCCAUCUCCUGAUCUGCGCAUCUCCGGACCCACGCAUCUCCUAGCCCUCCACAUCUCCGAUCCGCACAUCUCGGGCCCGCACAUCUCCGCUGCACACAUCUCCAGACCUGCACAUCUAUGGGCCCGCGCCUUGCCAUACCGCCCAUACCUCACCCUGCAGGA